AUUGAACGCUGGCGGAAUGCUUUACACAUGCAAGUCGAACGGCAGCACGGACUUCGGUCUGGUGGCGAGUGGCGAAAGGGUGAGUAAUACAUCGGAACGUGCCCAGUCGUGGGGGAUAACGUAGCGAAAGCUACGCUAAUACCGCAUACGAUCUAAGGAUGAAAGCGGGGGAUCGCAAGACCUCGCGCGAUUGGAGCGGCCGAUGGCAGAUUAGGUAGUUGGUAGGGUAAAGGCCUACCAAGCCGACGAUCUGUAGCUGGUCUGAGAGGAUGGUCAGCCACACUGGGACUGAGACACGGCCCAGACUCCUACGGGAGGCAGCAGUGUGGAAUUUGGGACAAUGGGCGCAAGCCUGAUCCAGCCAUUCCGCGUGCAGGAUGAAGGCCUUCGGGUUGUAAACUGCUUUUGUACAGAACGAAAAGGCUCUGGUUAAUACCCGGGGCUCAUGACGGUACUGUAAGAAUAAGCACCGGCUAACUACGUGCCAGCCGCCGCCGUAA
rnacentral:rRNA from 1 species